GGCGAAGUGGCCGAGUGGUUAAGGCGUUGGUUUUAGGCACCAAUAUCUUCGGAUGCGUGGGUUCGAAUCCCAUCUUCGUCA
rfam:Strongyloides venezuelensis genome assembly, scaffold: SVE_scaffold0000032